UACCAGCACCCCGAGUGGUCGGGACGAUUAUUGGGCCUAAAGCAUCCGUAGCCGGUUCUGCAAGUCCCCCGUUAAAUCCAGCUGCUCAACAGAUGGGCCGCGGAGGAUACUCCAGAGCUAGGAGGCAGGAGAGGCAAGCGGUACUCAGUGGGUAGGGGUAAAAUCCGUUGAUCCAUUGAAGACCACCAGUGGCGAAGGCGGCUUGCCCAGAA
rnacentral:rRNA from 1 species